GACGAACGCUGGCGGCGUGCUUAACACAUGCAAGUCGAACGGAAAGGCCCCUUUGGGGGUCCUCGAGUGGCGAACGGGUGAGUAACACGUGAGUAACCUGCCCUUGACUUCGGGAUAACUUCAGGAAACUGGGGCUAAUACCGGAUAGGAAUCCUUGCUGCAUGGUGGGGGUUGGAAAGCUUCGGCGGUUUUGGAUGGACUCGCGGCUUAUCAGCUUGUUGGUGGGGUAGUGGCUUACCAAGGCUUUGACGGGUAGCCGGCCUGAGAGGGCGACCGGCCACAGUGGGACUGAGAUACGGCCCAGACUCCUACGGGAGGCAGCAGUGGGGAAUAUUGCACAAUGGGCGGAAGCCUGAUGCAGCAACGCCGCGGGCGGGAUGACGGCCUUCGGGUUGUAAACCGCUUUCAGCAGGGGCGAAGCUUGUGGUGACGGUACCUGCAGAAGAAGCACCGGCUAACUACGUG
rnacentral:rRNA from 1 species